rnacentral:rRNA from 1 species
UACGGGGGGAGCAAGCGUUGUUCGGAUUUACUGGGCGUAAAGGGCGCGUAGGCGGCCUCCGCAAGUCAGUUGUGAAAUCUCCGAGCUUAACUCGGAAAGGUCAACUGAUACUGCGGGACUAGAGUGCGGAAGGGGCAACUGGAAUUCUUGGUGUAGCGGUGAAAUGCGUAGAUAUCAAGAGGAACACCUGCGGCGAAGGCGGGUUGCUGGGCCGACACUGACGCUGAGGCGCGAAAGCUAGGGGAGCGAACGGG